GCCUCGGUAGCUCAGUGGGGAGCCUUUUCCGGACGUUGACACAUGUCACAAAAGCCUCCAGGGAAAAGUUCGCUGAUUAGAGCGUUCGCUUGGUAAGCGAAAGGUCGCGAGUUCAAUAAGCUUUCGCAUUCGAAUGCGUCAGCGUGGAAACCUCGCCCGAGGCU
rnacentral:tRNA from 1 species